CCUACGGGUGGCAGCAGUGGGGGAUAUUGGGCAAUGGGCGCAACCCUGAUCCAGCAACGCCGCGUGAAGGAAGAAGGCUUUCGGGUCGUAAACUUCUGUUAUGAGGGACGAAGAAAGUGACGGCACCUCAGGAAUAAGCCACGGCUAACUACGUGGCAGCCGCCGCGGUAAUACGUAGGUGGCAAGCCUUAUCCGGAUUUAGUGGGUGUAAAGGGCGGGUAGGCGGGAAAGCAAGUCAGAUGUGAAAACUCAGGGCUCAACCCUGAGCCUGCCUUUGAAACUGUUUUUCUUGAGUGCGGGAGAGGCAAGCGGAAUUCCGGGUGUAGCGGUGAAAUGCGUAGAUAUACGGAGGAACACCAGUGGCGAAGGCGGAUUGCUGGACAGUAACUGACGCUGAGGCGCGAAAGCGUGGGUAGCAAACAGGAUUAGAUACCCCAGUAGUC
rnacentral:rRNA from 1 species